rnacentral:rRNA from 1 species
AUUGAACGCUGGCGGCAGGCCUAACACAUGCAAGUCGAGCGGAUGAAGGGAGCUUGCUCCUGGAUUCAGCGGCGGACGGGGGAGUAAUGCCUAGGAAUCUGCCUGGCAGUGGUGGAUAACGUCCGGAAACGGGCGCUAAUACCGCAUACGUCCUGAGGGAGAAAGUUGGGGGUCUUCGGACCUCACGCUAUCAGAUGAGCUUAGGUCGGAUUAGCUAGUUGGUGGGGUAAAGGCCUACCAAGGCGACGAUCCGUAACUGGUCUGAGAGGAUGAUUGGUCACACUGGAACUGGGACACGGUCCAGACUCCUACGGGAGGCAGCAGUGGGGAAUAUUAGACAGUGGGCGAGAGCCUGAUCCAGCCAUGCCGCGUGUGUGAAGAAGGUCUUCGGAUUGUAAAGAACUUUAAGUUGGGAGGAAGGGCAGUAAGUUAAUACCUUGCUGUUUUGACGUUACCAACAGAAUAAGCACCGGCUAACUUCGUG